rnacentral:rRNA from 1 species
GACGAACGCUGGCGGCGUGCUUAACACAUGCAAGUCGAACGGAAAGGCCCUGCUUUUGUGGGGUGCUCGAGUGGCGAACGGGUGAGUAACACGUGAGUAACCUGCCCUUGACUUUGGGAUAACUUCAGGAAACUGGGGCUAAUACCGGAUAGGAGCUCCUGCUGCAUGGUGGGGGUUGGAAAGUUUCGGCGGUUGGGGAUGGACUCGCGGCUUAUCAGCUUGGUGGUGGGGUAGUGGCUUACCAAGGCUUGGACGGGUAGCCGGCCUGAGAGGGUGACCGGCCACAUUGGGACUGAGAUACGGCCCAGACUCCUACGGGAGGCAGCAGUGGGGAAUAUUGCACAAUGGGCGGAAGCCUGAUGCAGCAACGCCGCGUGCGGGAUGACGGCCUUCGGGUUGUAAACCGCUUUCGCCUGUGACGAAGCGUGAGUGACGGUAAUGGGUAAAGAAGCACCGGCUAACUACGUG